GCUCCCUGUUUCUGUUAAGAUUAAAAUCACCAACUGUGGCAGUGCCACAAAUCUAGAUAUUCCAUCUUGCCCAGCUGUUAGGCAAAAGAAGUAUUGUGGUCUACAUCUUCCAUGCUUUCCUGAAAAUUAAGCUGAGCCUGAUAGUCUGAAUGGUAAUCCUGAGCUUUUCCACAUUUCUGCCCAGGAAAGUUCAAGAAGGUGAAAAAUAUCAGAGAUGGUGGUCCAGGAGUGAAAUCCAUCAAGGGUUUAUUGCUAGCUAG
rnacentral:lncRNA from 1 species